UACGUAGGGGGCAAGCGUUAUCCGGAUUUACUGGGUGCAAAGGGAGCGUAGACGGUAUGGCAAGUCUGAAGUGAAAGCCCAGGGCUUAACCCUGGGACUGCUUUGGAAACUGUUAGACUAGAGUGCUGGAGAGGUAAGUGGAAUUCCUAGUGUAGCGGUGAAAUGCGUAGAUAUUAGGAGGAACACCAGUGGCGAAGGCGGCUUACUGGACAGUAACUGACGUUGAGGCUCGAAAGCGUGGGGAGCAAACAGG
rnacentral:rRNA from 1 species